rnacentral:lncRNA from 1 species
CUUACCUUUUCGUUCAUACUCCUUUCGCAUGAACUUGUCAAAUUUCUUAAUAACGAGUCCGAACUCGUUAUCUUCGUCGCUUGAAUCCUCAUCAUUUUGAGGUUGAGCCGUGCUUGCUUUAAGGGCGAUUCUUCUUUUCCUUUGAUCAUCCAAAGGAGGGUUAAGAAUAGUAGAUUCAUAGGUUUUGAGAUUACCUCUAAGCCCG